CGAUGAAACCGCCCUCGGGCGGACAUGAAGUGGCGAACGGGUGAGUAACACGUGACCAACCUGCCCCUUGCUCCGGGACAACCUUGGGAAGCCGAGGCUAAUACCGGAUACUCCUCGCCCCCCUCCCUGGGGGGCCCGGGAAAGCCCAGACGGCAAGGGAUGGGGCCGCGGCCCAUUAGGUAGUAGGCGGGGUAACGGCCCACCUAGCCCGCGAUGGGUAGCCGGGUUGAGAGACCGACCGGCCACAUUGGGACUGAGAUACGGCCCAG
rnacentral:rRNA from 1 species